UACGGAGGAUCCAAGCGUUAUUCGGAGUGACUGGGCGUAAAGAGUUGCGUAGGGGGUUUGUUAAGCAAAUAGUGAAAUCUUGUGGCUCAACCAUGAGGCUAUUAUUUGAACUGGCAAACUUGAGAAUAUGAGAGGUAGAUGGAAUUCCCAGUGUAGGAGUGAAAUCCGUAGAUAUUGGGAGGAACACCAAUGGCGUAGGCAGUCUACUGGCAUAUUUCUGACCCUGAGGCACGAAAGCGUGGGGAGCGAACCGG
rnacentral:rRNA from 1 species